rnacentral:rRNA from 1 species
AUUGAACGCUGGCGGCAUGCCUUACACAUGCAAGUCGAACGGCAGCACGGGUGCUUGCACCUGGUGGCGAGUGGCGAACGGGUGAGUAAUACAUCGGAACGUACCUUAUCGUGGGGGAUAACGCAGCGAAAGCUGUGCUAAUACCGCAUACGCCCUGAGGGGGAAAGCGGGGGAUCGCAAGACCUCGCGCGAUUAGAGCGGCCGAUGCCUGAUUAGCUUGUUGGUGGGGUAAAAGCCCACCAAGGCGACGAUCAGUAGCUGGUCUGAGAGGACGAUCAGCCACACUGGGACUGAGACACGGACCAGACUCCUACGGGAGGCAGCAGUGGGGAAUUUUGGACAAUGGGGGUAACCCUGAUCCAGCAAUGCCGCGUGAGUGAAGAAGGCCUUCGGGUUGUAAAGCUCUUUUGUCAGGGAAGAAACACCGGCUCUAACACAGUCCGGGAAUGACGGUACCUGAAGAAUAAGCACCGGCUAACUACGUGCCAGCCGCCGCGGUAA